GUGUCAGCAGCCGCGGUAAUACAGAGGGUUCGAGCGUUGUCCGGAAUCACUGGGCGUAAAGGGCGCGUAGGCGGCCUGAUAAGUCGGGGGUGAAACGCUGCGGCUUAACCGCAGCACUGCCUUCGAGACUGUCAGGCUUGAGCACGGUAGAGGCUGGUGGAAUUCCCGGUGUAGCGGUGGAAUGCGUAGAGAUCGGGAAGAACAUCGGUGGCGAAGGCGGCCAGCUGGGCCGUUGCUGACGCUGAGGCGCGACAGCGUGGGGAGCGAACAGGAUUAGAUACCCUGGUAGUCC
rnacentral:rRNA from 1 species